AUGGAGGCCAGCGCCGGGCUGGUUGCGGGCUCGCACAACCGCAACGAGCUCGUCGUCAUCCGCCGCGACGGGGAGCCAGGGGCGAGGCCGCUCAAGCAGCAGAACCGCGGGGCGUGCCAGAUUUGCGGGGACGACCUCGGGCUCGGCCCCGGCGGCGACCCCUUCGUCGCCUGCAACGAGUGCGCCUUCCCCGUCUGCCGCGACUGCUACGAGUACGAGCGCCGCGAGGGCACGCAGAACUGCCCGCAGUGCAAGACCCGCUACAAGCGCCUCAAGGGGUGCGCGCGCGUGCCCGGGGAUGAGGAGGAGGACGGCGCCGACGACCUGGAGGACGAGUUCAACUGGAGGGACAGGGACGACUCGCAGUACGCCGCCGAGUCCAUGCUCCACGCCCACAUGACCUACGGCCGCGGCGGCGACCUCGACGGCGUGCACCAGCCCUUCCAGCCCAACCCCAAUGUUCCACUCCUCACCAAUGGCCAGAUGGUCGACGACAUCCCGCCGGAGCAGCACGCCCUUGUUCCUUCCUUCGUCGGCGGCGGGGGAAAGAGGAUCCACCCGCUCCCUUAUGCUGAUUCCAACCUUCCUGUGCAACCGAGAUCCAUGGACCCAUCCAAGGAUAUUGGUUCCUACGGGUACGGUAGCGUCGCCUGGAAGGAGAGGAUGGAGAGCUGGAAGCAGAAGCAGGAGAGGCUGCAUCAGGCCAGAAAUGAUGGCGGUAAAGACUGGAACGGGGAUGGCGACGAUGCAGAUCUGCCACUCAUGGAUGAAGCUAGGCAGCCACUGUCCAGAAAGGUUCCCAUUCCUUCAAGCCUGAUUAAUCCCUACAGGAUGAUCAUUGUGAUCCGUUUGGUGAUUGUGUGUCUCUUCUUCCACUAUCGUGUUAUGCAUCCGGUGCAUGAUGCAUUUGUUUUGUGGCUCAUAUCUGUCAUAUGUGAGAUAUGGUUUGCCAUGUCUUGGAUUCUUGAUCAGUUCCCCAAGUGGUUCCCUAUUGAGAGGGAGACUUACCUUGACCGGUUGACAUUGAGGUUCGACAAGGAAGGCCAGCCAUCUCAACUCGCCCCAGUUGAUUUCUUUGUCAGUACGGUCGAUCCCGCAAAGGAGCCUCCGCUGGUCACAGCAAACACUAUCCUAUCUAUCCUGGCGGUAGAUUAUCCGGUUGACAAGCUUUCUUGCUAUGUUUCUGAUGAUGGUGCUGCCAUGCUGACAUUCGAAGGAUUGUCUGAAACAUCUGAAUUUGCAAAGAAAUGGGUUCCUUUCUGUAAGAAGUAUAGCAUUGAGCCUCGUGCUCCAGAGUGGUACUUCCAACAGAAGAUAGACUACCUGAAAGACAAGGUGGUACCAAACUUUGUUAGGGACAGGAGAGCAAUGAAGAGAGAGUAUGAGGAAUUCAAGAUCAGAAUCAAUGCCUUGGUUGCUAAAGCCCAGAAAGUUCCUGAGGAAGGAUGGACCAUGCAGGAUGGAACUCCCUGGCCUGGGAACAAUGUCCGUGAUCACCCUGGAAUGAUUCAGGUCUUCCUUGGUCAAAGUGGUGGCCUUGAUGUGGAAGGAAAUGAGCUGCCUCGAUUGGUUUAUGUCUCAAGAGAAAAACGGCCAGGCUAUAACCAUCACAAGAAGGCUGGUGCUAUGAAUGCAUUGGUCCGUGUCUCUGCUGUGCUAACGAAUGCUCCAUAUAUGCUUAACUUGGAUUGUGAUCACUAUGUGAACAACAGCAAGGCAGUCAAGGAAGCCAUGUGUUUCAUGAUGGAUCCUCUGGUAGGAAAGAAAGUUUGCUAUGUGCAGUUCCCACAAAGAUUCGACUCCAUUGAUCGUCAUGAUCGAUAUGCUAACAAGAAUGUCGUCUUCUUUGAUAUCAACAUGAAAGGUUUGGAUGGUAUUCAAGGCCCCAUCUAUGUUGGUACUGGAUGUGUCUUUAGAAGGCAGGCGCUGUACGGUUAUGAUGCUCCCAAAACAAAGAAGCCACCGUCAAGGACUUGCAACUGCUGGCCAAAGUGGUGUGUGUGCUGUUUCUGCUUUGGUAACAGGAAGAACAAGAAGAAGGUUACCAAGCCAAAGACAGAGAAGAAGAAGAGGUUGUUUUUCAAGAAGGAAGAAAAUCAAUCACCUGCGUACGCACUCAGUGAAAUUGACGAAGCAGCUGCAGGAGCUGAAACUCAGAAGGCUGGUAUUGUAAACCAACAGAAGUUAGAGAAGAAAUUUGGCCAGUCUGCCAUUUUUGUUGCAUCCACGCUUCUUGAGAAUGGUGGAACCCUGAGGUGUGAUAGUCCAGCUUCUCUUCUGAAGGAAGCUAUACAUGUCAUCGGUUGUGGCUAUGAAGACAAGACAGACUGGGGAAAAGAGAUUGGCUGGAUCUAUGGGUCAGUUACAGAGGAUAUCCUAACUGGGUUUAAGAUGCAUUGCCAUGGCUGGCGGUCGAUUUACUGCAUACCUAAAAGGCCUGCAUUCAAAGGUUCUGCGCCUCUCAAUCUUUCGGAUCGUCUUAACCAGGUUCUUCGGUGGGCUCUUGGGUCUAUUGAGAUCUUCUUCAGCAACCAUUGCCCUCUUUGGUAUGGGUAUGGUGGUGGACUGAAAUUUUUGGAAAGAUUUUCCUACAUCAACUCCAUCGUCUAUCCUUGGACAUCCAUUCCACUUCUGGCCUACUGUACGUUGCCGGCCAUCUGCUUGUUAACGGGAAAGUUCAUCACCCCAGAGCUUAGCAAUCUUGCCAGUAUCUGGUACAUGUCACUUUUCAUCUGCAUUUUUGCUACGGGUAUUCUGGAAAUGAGAUGGGCUCGUGUCGCGGUUGACGAUUGGUGGAGGAAUGAGCAGUUCUGGGUCAUUGGAGGUGUCUCUGCCCAUCUCUUUGCCGUGUUCCAAGGACUUCUCAAGGUGAUAGCUGGUGUGGACACAAGCUUCACCGUCACAACAAAGGCUGGAGAUGAUGAGGAGUUCUCGGAACUGUACACCUUCAAAUGGACAACCUUGCUGAUACCCCCGACCACCUUGCUCCUGCUGAACUUCAUCGGGGUGGUUGCCGGCAUCUCCAACGCGAUCAACAACGGAUAUGAGUCAUGGGGGCCUCUCUUCGGGAAGCUCUUCUUCGCAUUCUGGGUUAUUGUCCAUCUUUACCCGUUCCUCAAGGGUCUUCUUGGAAGGCAGAACAGGACCCCGACGAUCGUCAUCGUCUGGUCCAUCCUGUUGGCUUCGAUCAUCUCGCUCCUGUGGGUGCGUGUGAACCCUUUCCUCGCCAAGACCGACGGCCCUCUUCUGGAGGAGUGCGGUCUGGACUGCACCUAG
rnacentral:rRNA from 1 species